rnacentral:rRNA from 1 species
CAUAUCUGAAGUCAAGCAAGAGCACGCGCAUGAACUUAAGCAUAUCACUAAGCGCAGGUAAAAGAAAAAUAACUAUGAUUGCCUCAGUAACGGCGAGUGAAGCGGCAAUAGCCCAAGAUGAGAACCGCAGCCCUUCGGGCUCGCGGGUUGUAAUCUAAAGAGCAGUCACUGACUGGCUUUGCUGACGCCCAAGUGUCUUGGAAUAGACCGCCAGGGAGGGUGAAAGCCCCGUACGGUGUCGGGAGAGCGCUAGGUGGCCGCUUGAAGAGUCGAGUUGUUCGGGACUGCAGCUCUAAGUGGGAGGUAGACUUCUCCUAAGGCUCAAUAACUAUGAGAGACCGAUAGCGAACAAGUAAUGUGAAUGAAAGGUGAAAAUAUAUUUUUCCUUCCGUAAGAACUUUGAAUGAACAAAACAGAAUUAAACAGACCUGAAACCGUUGAGGUGGAAGCGAUAGGAAGUUUACAUUUGGCCCGGAGCUAGCAAAGCGGGUUCGCCUGCGAGUUUGCUCCUGGUCGAAACGGUCGCUCGGCUUUGCGCGCCUCAUAAACCCCCCCGGGCAAGGGCUUCGGCACCACUCUGGGGGAGCCUGUUGCGUGCGARGUCGARGGACUUUURAUGUUUAUCCUACCGACCCGUCUUGAAACACGGACCAAGGAGUCUAACAUAUAUGCGAUUAUGUUGGUGUUGUUAAMCCAUACAUGAGCAAUGAAAGUAAGCGGUGCCAACCGUAAGGUGCAGCAUCGGCCAGUUGUGAUCCUCUGGAGAAGCGUACUGGCUGUGAGCAUAUCUGUUAGGACCCGAAAGAUGGUGAACUACGCUUGGGUAGGGUGAAGCCAGGGGAAACUCUUGUGGAAGCCCGAAGCGGUACUGACGUGCAAAUCGUUCGUCAAACUUGAGUGUAGGGGCGAAAGACUAAUCGAACCAUCUAGUAGCUGGUUCCCUCCGAAGUUUCUCUCAGGAUAGCAAGCACAGUUAAAGCAGUUUUUUUGUAUUUUCUCAAUUAGGUAAAGAAUCAAUGAUUAGAAGCAUCUGGGGGCUUUAUUAGUGUUCUCGACUUAGUUCUCAAACUCUAAAUAUUUGUAAUAACUCGGUAUUCCUUAACUGAAGAUCGAGGCAGAAUGCUUGUGCUUAGUGGGCCAUUUUUGGUAAGCAGAACUGGCGAUGAGGGAUGCUCCUAACGUCGAGUUAAGGUGCCCAACUGCACGCUCAUCAGAAACUACAAAGGGUGUUGGUUCAUCCAGACAGCAGGACGGUGGCCAUGGAAGUCGGAACCCGCUAAGGAGUGUGUAACAACUCACCUGCCGAAUGGACUAGCCCCGAAAAUGGAUGGCGCUCAAGCGUGCGACCCGAUCUCGACCAUUGUAGCGAGAGUGAGGCU